UUACGAUUAUAUCACAUUGACACACCGGCUCCCGUACGAUCACCAAAGUUAAGCAACGUCGAGAUUGAUCAGUACCUAUGUUGGGUGAUCAGUUGAGAAUACCAGGUGCUGUAAG